AUUGAACGCUGGCGGCAGGCCUAACACAUGCAAGUCGAGCGGAUGAAGAGAGCUUGCUCUCUGAUUUAGCGGCGGACGGGUGAGUAAUGCCUAGGAAUCUGCCUGGUAGUGGGGGAUAACGUUCCGAAAGGAACGCUAAUACCGCAUACGUCCUACGGGAGAAAGCAGGGGACCUUCGGGCCUUGCGCUAAUAGAUGAGCCUAAGUCGGAUUAGCUAGUUGGUGGGGUAAAGGCCUACCAAGGCGACGAUCUGUAGCGGGUCUGAGAGGAUGAUCCGCCACACUGGGACUGAGACACGGCCCAGACUCCUACGGGAGGCAGCAGUGGGGAAUAUUGGACAAUGGGGGGAACCCUGAUCCAGCCAUGCCGCGUGUGUGAAGAAGGCCUUUUGGUUGUAAAGCACUUUAAGCGAGGAGGAGGCUACCUAGAUUAAUACUCUAGGAUGGUGGACGUUACUCGCAGAAUAAGCACCGGCUAACUCUGUGCCAGCCGCCGCCGUAACAC
rnacentral:rRNA from 1 species